AGGGCGGGGUAGCCGGGGUUGGGCGGCCUCGGGGGCCGGGCCGGCAGGGGCGGAACGGGAAGACGUGGAGAGACGGACACAGAGACCGACACAGAGACCGACACAGACCCACCAAGGACGCAGCCCAGGCCCUUUUCAUUUUCCACCUGGAGAUGCUACUGCGCGGAGUCACUAAGUUGCCCAGCCUGGGUUUGAAAUUGUGAUGCUCCUGCCUCGGCCUCCCGGAGUGGGGCGGCGGCGAGAGCUGGGUGCCGCGAAACCUGGCUUGCAUUGAAUUAAAUUUUCUUUGUUUUUCCU